rnacentral:lncRNA from 1 species
AUACAAUAAUAGGUACAACUUGUCAUAGUGGUGCUAAAGCUCUCUUGGCUGAUCUUGCAUGAAGCCUCGCCGAUCAAGUUCUUCAUAUCACUGAGACAAAAGAAAGUAGUGUAUCACAACCACAAAAAUUGCAAAAGAGAAGUAGGAUAAAGGAGAACAAAUGCUGAUAAAUAUAGAGCAUCACUUCCUACCAUUUCUUGCAUUCAUUGCACUCAUAGAUAAGCAAAUUAAAAGACCGAUAUAUUACAUCCUCUUCUUAAAAACAAGUUAUUCCAUCCUUCCAAUUCUUCUUUUGUCCCAUUUUUUUCAUCCCUCACUCACCAAAAUACUAGAGAUUGGCAAGCUAAAGAAAAUGGACAUGCCAACAAGAAAAAAAUAGGGUAAUUUCGUAAUAAUAUGCUCAUACUAAUUACAUGCCAACUCAGACUCUAUAUUUACAAAAUAAAUACAGACAAAUGUAGAUUUGCUAAGAAUGAGGAGUCUGUCAAAAGCAUAGACUUAUAUUAAUGAAAUGCCAAUGUUAAACAUGUAAGAUUUCAACAUUUUAAGUUAUGCAAUUAUAUGAGAAUUAACACAAUAAAGAAUCAAAUUUUAAUAAGUACCCUGUAGGAUUGUUAGCAUCUUCGAGAGCAUGUUGAGGGUGGUCGUUGUAUAUUAACAACUUUCAUUAGCCGUUGCUGUUGAUGCCUGCAGGGAUUCCUACUAUAGAAUAAGAGUUUGGAAGCUCAUGGAGAACAGAGAUAAGCAUAUUAAGCUAAACCCCGUAAAGUUUCGGGGCAAUGCAAACAAAACCCAACAACAGCCUACGAAACCAACUAGGCCCACACAAACAGAUAAAUGACCUACUGUCUAUAUCUUUUAACCUAGCCCGGCAAAAAAUAUAACCCAAAUACUUCCAUCACUAGUAGGGACAAUAUGCCAAUAUUCUGUGGUAUCUAAUAUCUUGGCUCUAUCUUAUCAAGAACUCGAUCUAAGAUAUCAAAAAUCUGCCAAUAUUCUGUGGUAUCUUUUAUCUUUAGUUGGCUCUAUCUUAUCAAGAACUCCAUCUAAGAUAUCAAAAAUCUACUAUCAGUUUGCUAAUAUAACAAAUUCGCUUUUGUUUUGCCAAUGAAGGUCCUUUAUGCAGACCCGACAAAAAAAUAAGACUGUAAACAUUCUUCGUUUUAUGUAUGAAUUUUCCAACCUAACUGCAAACUUCAAAAAAGAAAUGUUUAAAUUGUAUGUGACAAAUCAACGGACGGUGAGAUGUAUUUGUGAAAUUAGUAGUCUCAUUUAAAGUUUAUAUUCCCACUUUAUGCACUAUGUGAAACACGGAAGCAACAAAGGUAGAAAUUAGAAAAAUAAUAUUGAAGACAGAAUUUUGGUAUUUUAAAAUAGGGAACUUAAGGAAAACGAUGCACCCAAAAUGAACCCGGAGAAAUCGAAGAAAGGUGCACCUAAUUAUAUUCGAUUUUGAUAUCUCCAAAAUUAUAUAUUUCCGGUUCAAAUUCUGAAAUCUCCGUCUCGUGUACACUUCAACCCUUAAAAAGUAUAGGGGGAAAAUG